CCAGGGCUGACUGUUUACUUUGGACCCAUAAUGCAGGCCUGACGGGUUUGUUUGCCAUGGAAUCUGGCUCUGUGACAUACCGAGAGCACAGUGCCGUUUUAUGUCAUGAAUCUGUAUUGAGUGACACAAAAAGAUUUGACACAUAUGCACUUCAGAUUCGCAGAACCACUGAGAUCUGUCUAUAUAUUGUAACGUUCAUUACUACAGAUUCUGCUCUGGGCACUUGACUAUCCAUUUAAGAUCCACAUAAACAAUAAUACAGUCCAUCAAUACAUCUUUGAAUAAGCAUGACCACCCUUUAAAGGAAUGUUGGAAUGAUAGGUUGAAUGAUUAAAUAUGUAUGGCACGCAUGGCAUUUCAUCACAUUAAUGUGAGAGUAAACUAGA